rnacentral:rRNA from 1 species
AUACGUAGGUGGCGAGCGUUGUCCGGAUUUACUGGGUGUAAAGGGCGAGUAGGCGGGUAAACAAGUCAGAUGUGAAAUACCGAGGCUCAACUUCGGGGCUGCAUUUGAAACUGUUUAUCUUGAGUGAUGGAGAGGCAGGCGGAAUUCCCAGUGUAGCGGUAAAAUGCAUAGAGAUUGGGAGGAACACCAGUGGCGAAGGCGGCCUGCUGGACAUCAACUGACGCUGAGGAGCGAAAGUGUGGGGAGCAAACAGGAUUAGAUACCCUGGUAGUCCACACCGUAAACGAUGGAUACUAGGUGUGGGGGGACUGACCCCCUCCGUGCCGCAGUUAACACAAUAAGUAUUCCACCUGGGGAGUACGGCCGCAAGGUUGAAACUCAAAUGAAUUGACGGGG